CCAGCAUCACCACCACGCAAGGCCCAGGGACUGGCUCUGCAGGGUGCCACCAUCGCUGCUCCAAACUGACUGCACCAGGAACACAACUUCCUCUGUCCCACCGCAAUCUGUGGGAAGGCUGGAGCCAAAGGGUUGGGGACCAAGCACAAAGUGAUGGAAAGGGCCCCGCAGCGCUGGAGGAGGAUCCCACUGUACUUGGCAAACCUGCCCUAGCUUGGGGCUUUGCAAGGAGAACAAGGCAUGAGAGCCACUGAGGAGCAGGAGCAUGAAGAACAACCUGCGCAUCUCAUAAACCUGCUGCAACUUGAGCUUCCAGUUAGUGGGAAACUGCGUGUUUUCAUGGCAAGUAAGGUGCUCCCUACGGGACGGCAGUUCACAGGAGAAAUCCAUGUUGCCAUGACCUUCAUUUCAGGAAAGAAGUUGGUGACUCCCCAUUUCCAAAUGUUGUUCUUACACUCUUUAUUUUCGUGUUGUUUGUAGUGCUGGUUCUCUCCUGCCAUGUCAGUAGUGGUGCCUCUUGUACCUGCAGAGCAGAGUGUCUCCAGGAAAGAAGAGCUGUUUUCAGUCCAUAAACUAACCAAACCACCAGCACGGGAUUUGGCACAGGCCACCGGGAACUCCCCUGGUCCUGACGGAACCAACGCAGGCAGAUCUGUUGGUGUAUUUUUUGGGUUUUGUUUUUUUAAUAUUUAAAAGAAUGUUACUUUUCUGUAUGAUGUGCAUGCGAGUUUACCGUAACUUUUUCUUAAGCCUUUUUAGUGCCAUUUCUAGUAUAUUCCUGUAAAUGUCCGUUACUGAGGAGAAACGAGUCAAUGUAAGUAGUGUUAGCUUGUUCUUUGCAAAUUGCUGGCCUCAAACACGACAGAAUUUAAAAGGAAGAGUUAGAAAGUACUCUGUGAUGUUACUGGUGAUCACGGACCCUGGGCCCGGGCAUUCGGUUUCUUUUCAUAAUAAAAAGAGAAAUUGU